rnacentral:rRNA from 1 species
UACGUAGGGUGCGAGCGUUGUCCGGAAUUAUUGGGCGUAAAGAGCUCGUAGGCGGUUUGUCGCGUCGGCCGUGAAAACUUGGGGCUUAACUCCAAGCUUGCGGUCGAUACGGGCAGACUUGAGUUCGGCAGGGGAGACUGGAAUUCCUGGUGUAGCGGUGAAAUGCGCAGAUAUCAGGAGGAACACCGGUGGCGAAGGCGGGUCUCUGGGCCGACACUGACGCUGAGGCGCGAAAGCUAGGGGAGCAAACGGG